UUACGGCCACAUCACGUUGAAACACCGGCUCUCGUACGAUCUCCUAAGUUAAGCAACGUCGUUGCUUUCAGUACCUAGAUGGGUUACCGCUUGGGAAUAUUAGCUGCUGUAA